UGCUUAGGAAUCUGCCUAUUAGUGGGGGACAACAUUUCGAAAGGAAUGCUAAUACCGCAUACGUCCUACGGGAGAAAGCAGGGGAUCUUCGGACCUUGCGCUAAUAGAUGAGCCUAAGUCGGAUUAGCUAGUUGGUGGGGUAAAGGCCUACCAAGGCGACGAUCUGUAGCGGGUCUGAGAGGAUGAUCCGCCACACUGGGACUGAGACACGGCCCAGACUCCUACGGGAGGCAGCAGUGGGGAAUAUUGGACAAUGGGCGCAAGCCUGAUCCAGCCAUGCCGCGUGUGUGAAGAAGGCCUUAUGGUUGUAAAGCACUUUAAGCGAGGAGGAGGCUACUUUAGUUAAUACCUAGAGAUAGUGGACGUUACUCGCAGAAUAAGCACCGGCUAACUCUGUGCCAGCAGCCGCGGUAAUACAGAGGGUGCAAGCGUUAAUCGGAUUUACUGGGCGUAAAGCGCGCGUAGGCGGCUAAUUAAGUCAAAUGUGAAAUCCCCGAGCUUAACUUGGGAAUUGCAUUCGAUACUGGUUAGCUAGAGUGUGGGAGAGGAUGGUAGAAUUCCAGGUGUAGCGGUGAAAUGCGUAGAGAUCUGGAGGAAUACCGAUGGCGAAGGCAGCCAUCUGGCCUAACACUGACGCUGAGGUGCGAAAGCAUGGGGAGCAAACAGGAUUAGAUACCCUGGUAGUCCAUGCCGAAAACGAUGUCUACUAA
rnacentral:rRNA from 1 species